rnacentral:rRNA from 1 species
GAUGAACGCUAGCUACAGGCUUAACACAUGCAAGUCGAGGGGCAGCAUGAACUUAGCUUGCUAAGUUUGAUGGCGACCGGCGCACGGGUGAGUAACACGUAUCCAACCUGCCGAUGACUCGGGGAUAGCCUUUCGAAAGAAAGAUUAAUACCCGAUGGCAUAGUUCUUCCGCAUGGUAGAACUAUUAAAGAAUUUCGGUCAUCGAUGGGGAUGCGUUCCAUUAGGUUGUUGGCGGGGUAACGGCCCACCAAGCCUUCGAUGGAUAGGGGUUCUGAGAGGAAGGUCCCCCACAUUGGAACUGAGACACGGUCCAAACUCCUACGGGAGGCAGCAGUGAGGAAUAUUGGUCAAUGGACGAGAGUCUGAACCAGCCAAGUAGCGUGAAGGAUGAAGGUCCUACGGAUUG